AUUGAACGCUGGCGGCAGGCCUAACACAUGCAAGUCGAACGAGUGGCGGACGGGUGGGUAAUGUCUGGGAAACUGCCUGAUGGAGGGGGAUAACUACUGGAAACGGUAGCUAAUACCGCAUACCAUCGGAUGUGCCCAGAUGGGAUUAGCUAGUAGGUGGGGUAAAGGCUAACCUAGGCGACGAUCCCUACCUGGUCUGAGAGGAUGACCAGCCACACGGGAACUGAGACACGGUCCAGACUCCUACGGGAGGCAGCAGUGGGGAAUAUUGCACAAUGGGCGCAAGCCGGAUGCAGCCAUGCCGCGUGUAUGAAGAAGGCCUUCGGGUUGUAAAGCACUUUUAGCUGGGAGGCGUUACCAGCAGAAUAAGCACCGGCUAACUCCGUGCCAGCAGCCGCGGUAAUAC
rnacentral:rRNA from 1 species